rnacentral:rRNA from 1 species
GCACGAGCGCACCCUUGCCCUAUGUUGCCAGCGGAUAAUGCCGGGGACUCAUGGGGAACUGCCGGUGAUAAACCGGAGGAAGGUGGGGACGACGUCAAGUCAUCAUGGCCCUUACGCCCAGGGCUACACACGUGCUACAAUGGCCGGUACAAAGGGCUGCCAACCCGCGAGGGUGAGCGAAUCCCAAAAAGCCGGUCUAAGUUCGGAUUGUAGUCUGCAACUCGACUGCAUGAAGUCGGAAUCGCUAGUAAUCGUGUAUCAGCAACGAUACGGUGAAUACGUUCCCGGGCCUUGUACACACCGCCCGUCAAGCCAUGGAAGCCGGGAGUGCCCGUAAUCUGUGACCCAACCUAAUGAGGGAGCAGCCGAAGGUAAGUUCGGUGACUGGGGCUAAGUCGUAACAAGGUAGCCGUAGGGGAACCUGCGGCUGGAUCACCUCCUUU